rnacentral:rRNA from 1 species
UACAGAGGUCCCAAGCGUUGUUCGGAUUCACUGGGCGUAAAGGGUGCGUAGGUGGUCGGGUAAGUCUGAUGUGAAAUCUCCGAGCUUAACUCGGAAAUGGCAUUGGAUACUAUUCGGCUGGAGGUUUGGAGGGGGGACUGGAAUUCUCGGUGUAGCAGUGAAAUGCGUAGAUAUCGGGAGGAACACCAGUGGCGAAGGCGGCUCUCUGGGCCCUACCUGACGCUGAGACGCGAAAGCGUGGGGAGCGAACCGG